GGUCUGGUGGUCUAGUGGUAUGAUUCUCGCUUAGGGCUCACCCUACAGCAUUGCAUGCGAGAGGUCCCGGGUUCAAUCCCCGGCCAGACCC
rnacentral:tRNA from 2 species